AAUAAGCGAAAGCUUGACGGGGCUAUCCCGAGUGCCAUCUGCUGAGGAUGGCUUUUACCUAGUAUAGAUAGCUGGGGGAAUAAGGAGAGGGCAAGUCUGGUGUCAGCCGCCGCGGUAAUACAA
rnacentral:rRNA from 1 species